rnacentral:rRNA from 1 species
CAUGCAGUCACGGUAACAGGAAGCAGCUUGCUGCUUCGCUGACGAGUGGCGGACGGGUGAGUAAUGUCUGGGAAACUGCCUGAUGGAGGGGGAUAACUACUGGAAACGGUAGCUAAUACCGCAUAACGUCGCAAGACCAAAGAGGGGGACCUUCGGGCCUCUUGCCAUCAGAUGUGCCCAGAUGGGAUUAGCUAGUAGGUGGGGUAACGGCUCACCUAGGCGACGAUCCCUAGCUGGUCUGAGAGGAUGACCAGCCACACUGGAACUGAGACACGGUCCAGACUCCUACGGGAGGCAGCAGUGGGGAAUAUUGCACAAUGGGCGCAAGCCUGAUGCAGCCAUGCCGCGUGUAUGAAGAAGGCCUUCGGGUUGUAAAGUACUUUCAGCGGGGAGGAAGGCGAUGCGGUUAAUAACCGCGUCGAUUGACGUUACCCGCAGAAGAAGCACCGGCUAACUCCGUGCCAGCAGCCGCGGUAAUACGGAGGGUGCAAGCGUUAAUCGGAAUUACUGGGCGUAAAGCGCACGCAGGCGGUCUGUCAAGUCGGAUGUGAAAUCCCCGGGCUCAACCUGGGAACUGCAUCCGAAACUGGCAGGCUUGAGUCUCGUAGAGGGGGGUAGAAUUCCAGGUGUAGCGGUGAAAUGCGUAGAGAUCUGGAGGAAUACCGGUGGCGAAGGCGGCCCCCUGGACGAAGACUGACGCUCAGGUGCGAAAGCGUGGGGAGCAAACAGGAUUAGAUACCCU